UGGGGAAUAUUGGACAAUGGGGGAAACCCUGAUCCAGCCAUGCCGCGUGUGUGAUGAAGGCCUUCGGGUUGUAAAGCACUUUCGCACGUGACGAUGAUGACGGUAACGUGAGAAGAAGCCCCGGCUAACUUCGUGCCAGCAGCCGCGGUAAUACGAAGGGGGCAAGCGUUGUUCGGAAUUACUGGGCGUAAAGGGCGCGUAGGCGGUGUACUAAGUUAGGCGUGAAAGCCCUGGGCUCAACCCGGGAAUUGCGCUUGAUACUGGUACGCUAGAAUCCAGGAGAGGUUGGUGGAAUUCCCAGUGUAGAGGUGAAAUUCGUAGAGAUUGGGAAGAACACCGGUGGCGAAGGCGGCCAACUGGACUGGUAUUGACGCUGAGGCGCGAAAGCGUGGGGAGCAAACA
rnacentral:rRNA from 1 species